rnacentral:rRNA from 1 species
UGGGGAAUUUUGCGCAAUGGGCGAAAGCCUGACGCAGUAACGCCGCGUGGAGGAUGAAGGCCUUCGGGUUGUAAACUCCUGUCAGGGGGAACGACGGGGAAAGGGUGACAAACCCUUUCCUCCAGACGGUACCUCCAAAGGAAGCCCCGGCUAAUUCCGUGCCAGCAGCCGCGGUAAUACGGAAGGGGCAAGCGUUGUUCGGAAUCAUUGGGCGUAAAGGGCGCGUAGGUGGUUCUGUAUGUCUACCGUGAAAGCGUACGGCUCAACCGUAUUUUGUCGGUAGAAACUGCAGGACUUGAGGCUGGGAGGGGCUGGUGGAAUUCCCUGUGUAGCGGUGAAAUGCGUAGAGAUGGGGGAGAACACUCGUGGCGAAGGCGGCCAGCUAGACCAGUUCUGACACUGAGGCGCGACAGCGUGGGGAGCAAACAGGAUUAGAUACCCCCGUAGUCC